rnacentral:rRNA from 1 species
UACAGAGGGUGCAAGCGUUGUUCGGAAUUAUUGGGCGUAAAGCGCGUGUAGGCGGCUUUGCAAGUCGGGUGUGAAAGCCCUCGGCUCGACCGAGGAAGUGCGCCCGAAACUGCAGAGCUUGAGUACCGGAGAGGAUGGCGGAAUUCCCCAAGUAGAGGUGAAAUUCGUAGAUAUGGGGAGGAACACCGGUGGCGAAGGCGGCCAUCUGGACGGAUACUGACGCUGAGACGCGAAAGCGUGGGGAGCAAACAGG